ensembl:lncRNA
UGUGUGUACAUCUAAUUGUACAUCUAAAUUUGCCAGCGUGUCUAAAUGUUAGUGUGUCUCUGAGUACAUCUGUGUGUGUGUGUGUGUGUAACCAAAUAAUAGUGUGUCUGUGUGUACAUCUAAUUGUACAUCUAAAUUUGCCAGCGUGUCUAAAUGUUAGUGUGUCUCUGAGUACAUCUGUGUGUGUGUGUGUGUCAUGAGUGGAUCUGGAUUUGCUCCUGAGGGGUUGACGCGGCGUCCUGAUGGCGUCCUGAUGGAAUCCUGAUGG